UCAGGACGAACGCUGGCGGCGUGCUUAACACAUGCAAGUCGAACGGAAAGGUCUCUUCGGAGAUACUCGAGUGGCGAACGGGUGAGUAACACGUGGGUGAUCUGCCCUGCACUUCGGGAUAAGCCUGGGAAACUGGGUCUAAUACCGGAUAGGACCACGGGAUGCAUGUCUUGUGGUGGAAAGCGCUUUAGCGGUGUGGGAUGAGCCCGCGGCCUAUCAGCUUGUUGGUGGGGUGACGGCCUACCAAGGCGACGACGGGUAGCCGGCCUGAGAGGGUGUCCGGCCACACUGGGACUGAGAUACGGCCCAGACUCCUACGGGAGGCAGCAGUGGGGAAUAUUGCACAAUGGGCGCAAGCCUGAUGCAGCGACGCCGCGUGGGGGAUGACGGCCUUCGGGUUGUAAACCUCUUUCACCAUCGACGAAGGUCCGGGUUCUCUCGGAUUGACGGUAGGUGGAGAAGAAGCACCGGCCAACUACGUGCCAGCAGCCGCGGUAAUACGUAGGGUGCGAGCGUUGUCCGGAAUUACUGGGCGUAAAGAGCUCGUAGGUGGUUUGUCGCGUUGUUCGUGAAAUCUCACGGCUUAACUGUGAGCGUGCGGGCGAUACGGGCAGACUAGAGUACUGCAGGGGAGACUGGAAUUCCUGGUGUAGCGGUGGAAUGCGCAGAUAUCAGGAGGAACACCGGUGGCGAAGGCGGGUCUCUGGGCAGUAACUGACGCUGAGGAGCGAAAGCGUGGGGAGCGAACAGGAUUAGAUACCCUGGUAGUCCACGCCGUAAACGGUGGGUACUAGGUGUGGGUUUCCUUCCUUGGGAUCCGUGCCGUAGCUAACGCAUUAAGUACCCCGCCUGGGGAGUACGGCCGCAAGGCUAAAACUCAAAGGAAUUGACGGGGGCCCGCACAAGCGGCGGAGCAUGUGGAUUAAUUCGAUGCAACGCGAAGAACCUUACCUGGGUUGACAUGCACAGGACGCGUCUAGAGAUAAGCGUUCCCUUGUG
rnacentral:rRNA from 1 species